GUAGGUGGCAAGCGUUGUCCGGAAUUAUUGGGCGUAAAGCGCGCGCAGGCGGUCCUCUAAGUCUGAUGUGAAAGCCCACGGCUCAACCGUGGAGGGUCAUUGGAAACUGGGGGACUUGAGUACAGAAGAGGAAAGCGGAGUUCCAAGUGUAGCGGUGAAAUGCGUAGAGAUUUGGAGGAACACCAGUGGCGAAGGCGGCUUUCUGGUCUGUAACUGACGCUGAGGCGCGAAAGCGUGGGGAGCAAACAGGAUUAGAUACCCUGGUAGUCCACGCCGUAAACGAUGAGUGCUAAGUGUUAGGGGGGUUUCCGCCCCCCUUAGUGCUGCAGCUAACGCAUUAAGCACUCCGCCUGGGAUACGGCCGCAAGGCUG
rnacentral:rRNA from 1 species